UUUGGAGAGUUUGAUCCUGGCUCAGGACGAACGCUGGCGGCGUGCCUAACACAUGCAAGUCGUACGGUGAUGCCUGGUCCGCUGUUGUGGUGGGCUGGGUGGAUGAGUGGCGAACGGGUGAGUAACACGUGAGCAACCUGCCCUCCUCUCCUGGAUAACCUCAUGAAAGUGGGGCUAAUACGGGGUGUGCUCGUGCUGGUCGCAUGGCUGGUGCGGGAUAGGGCCUGCCUUGGGUGGGUCUGGUGGGGGAUGGGCUCGCGGCCUAUCAGCUUGUUGGUGGGGUGAUGGCCUACCAAGGCGGUGACGGGUAGCCGGCCUGAGAGGGUGGGCGGCCACACUGGGACUGAGACACGGCCCAGACUCCUGCGGGAGGCAGCAGUGGGGGAUAUUGCACAAUGGGCGGAAGCCUGAUGCAGCGACGCCGCGUGAGGGACGGAGGCCUUCGGGUCGUGAACCUCUUUCGCCAGCGGAGAAGGUCCUGCCCGUGGUGGCGGGGCUGACGGUAGCUGGGUAAGAAGCGCCGGCUAACUACGUGCCAGCAGCCGCGGUAAUACGUAGGGCGCUAGCGUUGUCCGGAGUUACUGGGCGUAAAGGGCUUGUAGGCGGCUGGUCGCGCCUGCCGUGAAAUGUCCCGGCUCAACCGGGGAGUGCGGUGGGUACGGGCCGGCUUGAGUGCGGUAGGGGAGGCCGGAACUCCUGGUGUAGCGGUGGAAUGCGCAGAUAUCAGGAGGAACACCGGUGGCGAAGGCGGGUCUCUGGGCCGUUACUGACGCUGAGGAGCGAAAGCGUGGGGAGCGAACAGGAUUAGAUACCCUGGUAGUCCGCGCCGUAAACGUUGGGCACUAGGUGUGGGGGCCUUUUCCGGGGCUCCCGCGCCGCAGCUAACGCAUUAAGUGCCCCGCCUGGGGAGUACGGCCGCAAGGCUAAAACUCAAAGGAAUUGACGGGGGCCCGCACAAGCGGCGGAGCAUGCGGAUUAAUUCGAUGCAACGCGAAGAACCUUACCAGGGCUUGACAUGUGGGCGCGGGCCGCGGAGACGUGGUCUUCUCCUGUCCUCUCGUGUUUGCGGGGGGUGGGGGGUGCCCUCACAGGUGGUGCAUGGUUGUCGUCAGCUCGUGUCGUGAGAUGUUGGGUUAAGUCCCGCAACGAGCGCAACCCCUGUCCCGUGUUGCCAGCACGUGGUGGUGGGGACUCUCGGGAGACUGCCGGGGUCAACUCGGAGGAGGGUGGGGACGACGUCAAAUCAUCAUGCCCCUUAUGUCCUGGGCUUCACGCAUGCUACAAUGGCCGGUACAGAGGGCUGCGGUGCCGCGAGGCGGAGCGAAUCCCUUAAAGCCGGUCUCAGUUCGGAUCGGUGUCUGCAACUCGACACCGUGAAGCCGGAGUCGCUAGUAAUCGCAGAUCAGCACUGCUGCGGUGAAUACGUUCUCGGGCCUUGUACACACCGCCCGUCACGUCAUGAAAGCCGGUGACGCCCGAAGCCCGUGGCCCUACGGGGAGCGGUCGAAGGCGGGGCUGGUGAUUGGGACGAAGUCGUAACAAGGUAGCCGUACCGGAAGGUGCGGCUGGAUCACCUCCUUUCUA
rnacentral:rRNA from 2 species